rnacentral:misc_RNA from 1 species
AUCACUGCCAAGCUGGAACAUCACGCCCCGGGGCUCUCCUGGCACUAAUUAGAAAAAAAAAAAAAAAUUUCCUAGAAUUCCCAAGUAGUAAAGCAAUCAGCCUGCUGCAGAAAGAGCUUUUCCAUCCCAGCCAUGGCAGACUCAAAACUUAUCAUAGAGUUGGAAGUUAAACAAGUACAAGAACAGCUGAUGAAGCUUUUUGAAGAACGAAAAAACCUUCAGAAGGAAUUUGAGCAACUUACAGGAAGCAGCCACCAACUUCUGCUGGAAAUUAAAGAAGACCCAACAAGUGCCAGUGAGAGGAAACUCCACAAUUAUGAAGCUGAGAAGAGAAGGAUUGAAGAAAAACUGGAACUCUUGGAAAAUGAAAUCUCAGAAAAGGAUAAGAGGAUUACUCUCCUAGACUCGAAGGCUGGUCUAUUCCUGCAGCAAGUGAGCACAACACCAACAAGUAAUAACCUCUCUAACACUGAUGACAAGGUGGAGAUAGAUAUUAUUGGCAAUGAAAGUACCAGUGCAGUGACUGUUGGGGAAGGAGGAAAGUCAGUUGAGGGUGCUAGAGAUGGUGCGCAUGAGGUUGACAUCAAAUGUAGUGACACAGCUGAUGUGGAGGUUGGCCAGUCUGUGGUGGACAGCCAGCAAGCUACAGAGGAGCAGGAUCACAAGGUACAAGAGUGUAAUCAUUCUGAAUCCACUGAAAUCGUCAAGGUUGAAUCUCACAAUGGUGAGGCAGAGGUGAUUCAAGUCACAUCACCAGAAGAGCUACACAAAGAUACUGAUGAGGAUGCAGCAACACCUAAGGAGCUGCCUGAACCACCACCUGCAGACACUGAGGUAGGAGAGACAACAGGCAUGGCAGAUGCUGAAGCAACCAGAGGGGAAGAAAAGUGCAAGGGACAAGAUAACCAUGUGAUAGAUGAUGCAAGAGUAGAAAUUAAAUCUGUUAUGUUAGUGGAUGAUAAGGAAAGCUGUUCAGGUGUCACAGGUGUUGAAGAAGAAAAAAGUGAAAUAGCAACAUAUGAACCAAUGGGUAAUGGUAUAAGUGAUGAAAAAGAAGAGUUGAAUGAGAGUGAAGUGCAGUCACAAAUAGAGGUUGGUGAAGAAAAGGGAGAGUCUCAAGAAACCACCUGCAAUGAACCUAAAGAUAUAGAGCCUGCUGCUGCAUCCCCAGGUCCUGCUGGUGCUGCAAGUCUGGUGCAAGGUACACCUGCAGAGGCUGAGGGUGACAAUGCAGGUAAGCAGACUAGUGAUUACAGCACACCAUUAGUACUUGACCAGGUCACAUCUCUCUCCAUGCUUGUGGCUGAACUCCGCCGUGUCAAGGACGACAUGGGCAAGUGUAUGACGGUGAAGGAGCAAUCUUUCCUGGACCUGGAGGAUCAACUUCAAGCUGCCAACAAGGAGGUUGCUUCACUCAAAAAUUCAGUGUCAACAUUGUCUAAAGACCUGGAAGAAAAAAAACAAGGCUAUCAAGCUCUGGAAGAGGAACAUAAAAAGAAGAAAAUGGAUAUUGAAUUAAAGAUUGGGGAGAUUCAGGAGGUUACCAAUAAAUGCAGCAUGUUGAGUGAUGAAAAGUCUGAUUUGUUACGGAAGAUGGAAGUUCUGGAGAUCAUGAUGACUGAGUAUCGCACUGAGAUAGAGAUGCUGGUCGGGGAAAAGAACCAGAUGGAGCAGCAGACCAAGCAGCUACUGGCGGCCAAGACUGCUGCCACCACAGCCGAGGCAGAGAUAGACUCAAGGACAAGUGUAGAGGAGAAGGAAAGAGAAAUAGAAGAGCUGGUAGAAAAAAUACAAAGCAUGGAAAAGGAAAUGAAGGAAUUGAAUGAUAAACUUAAGGUCACCAACAGACACUUGAAGGUAAUGGCUCGUGAAAGAGAAUACAAACAGAAAGAAUGUGAAAUCCUUAAACACAAAGUAGAGAUGGUUGAACUAAAGAUGUGUGAGCUGCAGGGAACCUUUGACAUGUUGAUGAAGGCUGUCAUGGUGGAGCGGGAUGACCUUAUCAAAGAGAUGGAAGUCAAAAACAGCCAGAUAGACGACCUGCAGCAGACUGUGGUGCGACUCAAGGACACACACGAGCAGGAGCUGGAGAACGUCUUGUACGAGAAGAGACUGAAUGAUGAGGAGCUUACAAAAUACAGAUCUGGUGAGAUGAAAACUGAAUCUUAUAAAAAGGCACUCCAGGAGAUCACAAACCAGAAGGAAUGUUUAGAGCAGAAGCUGAAGGAAAAAACAGAUGAAGCAGCAGGUCUUGAUGAGAAGGUGAAGACAAUUCGUAAUGACAUGACAGACUUUGUCAACUCACUCAAGGAUGAAAUGGCUCGCAUCAAGGAUGACAGUGAGAAGCUUCAGCAAGAGAAAACUAACCUUUCAGAAACAUUCAAUUCACUGCAGGGAGAACACAAAGAGUUGCAAAGUAAGCACCAGGCUUUGGAGAAGUCAUUUGAGGAGGUGGACAAAUCAAAUAAGGAGAAAUUGGUGAAUGUAGAGUCCUUGAAAAUCCAACUUGAUGACUUACAGAAGCAGCUUGAAAGUGUUAAUGCUAAGAAUGCAAACUUGAGUAGUGAGAUGUUCAGGAAGGAGGAGGAGUCCCGUGAGGAGUUGUCUGCCCGAGAAGCAACCAUCCAAGAGUUGACUGUCACUCUCACCAACAACCAGAAACAGUCCAUGGAGAACUACAAUGCCCUUCAGCAGGACAUGAACAACUUGCAGGCAAAAUUCAAAACAUCUACUGAAGAACACAAGAAACAGCAGAAGGAACUUGAGGAAAGAUUGAAGGGACUGGAAAAAGAGAAGACAAAAGAGAUAAAUACUUUGCAAGAGGAAAUUAAAUCUUUAAAAAAAGAAUUAGGUGACAAAAAUAAAAAGUUGGAAGCAGCAGAGAAGUCCAAAUCUUCCAAGGACACAAAAGGUCAAGAAGACAAAGAUAAGGAAAUAGAAGCUUUGAAUGAGAAAAUUGAGGAGCUCACCAAAUCCCUAGAGACAGCAGCCAGUGGAACUUCCAAAGGAAAGGAAGGAAAGACAACAUCAAAAACUGAUGCUGAGGAUCUCCAGCAAAAAGUGAAAGACCUCACUGCUGAACUUGCAACUCUGAAAAAGCCUGAAUCAGGAAGUGAAGCGUCUAAGACUCAAGAAGAAUUUGAGACAUCUCUUGAGGGUAAGGAAAAAAAGAUACAGCUUCUGGAAUCAAAGGUGAGUGAUUUGGAAAUGAGUCUGGCCAACAAGAGUGGCUACAUUACACAGCUGGAGGAGAGAAUAAAAGACUCACCUGAUGUGCCAAAUAGUGCUGAGGCACACCUGGAGCAAAUCAAUAAAUUAAGUGCAGACAUUUCAAAGUUAAAAGAGGAACUAAAGCAGACAUAUGAGGAGUGUAAGUUUUUAAAAAAUACUGUCACCCAGUUAGAGAAUGACAAAAAAAGUAUUGAAGAUGAAAAAGCAAAACUUGUUGAAGAGUAUGAAAGCAAAUUAGAGCAAGCAAGUGGAAAUUUGGAGGAAUCCAAUGUGCAGCUGGAACAAAAAAAAAACUCGGUUGAGAGAUUAGAAUUAGAACUUAGAACCAGUAGUAAUAGGUAUUUAGAAGAGGUUGCUAAUUUAGAAAGCAAUCACAUAGGUAGGAUAGCAGAUUUAGUUAAGCUUCAUAGACAGAAAGUAGAAGUGCUUAAGGCAGGCAAUGCAGCAAAAGUCAGUGAAUUACUGGUUCACAUCGAUAAACUUACUGAGCAAAAAAUGUCACUGGAAAACGAACUCAAGAAUGCAACACUGGAGCAAAGCAACAGUUCCCUAUCAAGCUUAAUCCAAGAGAGAGACAGUCUCAUCACCAAGAUCACUGACCUUGAGCACACUUGUAAGACAUUAGAGAAAGACAAACUCCUUAUUGAGGAGGAAAAAAAAACUUUGAAAAAUAGCUUUAAAGAAGAGCAAGUAAUGACUAUGGAAAUACAGUCCCAAAUGGUGGCUGAUUCUGAGAAACUUAUUCUUGAGUUAGAGUUAAAUAAAAGUAGCUUAGAAAAGCAAAUAGAAGCAAUGGAAUCAUUAUGUGAACAACAUUCCCUUAGUAUAGUAGAGAAUGAAAAGAAAAUUGCAUAUUUUGAAAACCAGAACACAUUACUAACAAAAGAAAAAGAAAAAUAUAUAGAUGAAAACAAGAGACUGAAAACAGUAAUAGAAGAGACAGUAUCUAAGAUUAAUAUUGAUGAAGAACAACCUAAGAGUAUUGAGAAGCUGACCACAAAAGACAGACUCUCAGAAGUUUUCUUGAAUAUUUCUCCAGCCACUGAACCAGACAAGACUGGUGGGGAUGAUCUCAAACAGGAAGGAGGUAGUACUGUGCUGCUGCCCAAAGUUGUCAAGGAAGGCAGCAGACAGGACAAGAAGAAAGCUGUCCUUGAGUAUGAGGACAAGAUCUCUUCAAUAAUAGCAAACUACCAGGAGCAGAUCAGUUCACUCACCACCAAGUAUGAAGCAAAGCGAGUUGAAGAAAAUGCUGAAUUUGGCCGAGUUCUUGUAGCAAAGAUUGACUCUUAUGAGAAACAGAUUGCUUCUCAGGAUGAGGAAAUCAAUGGCUUGAGGACAGAAAUUACCAAGCUACAGAUGGACAUUAGUGACAAGGUGAAGAUUAUUGAGGAACUGGAAGCCAACCUGGAUGACAUGACACUAAUGAGAGCAUCUUUGAGGGCUCAGGUGAAUGACUUGAAGCUAGCCAUCACCAAGGCCAACUUGAGCCCUACUGAUCAAUCCUGCCUGGAUGUCCUCCACACUGAGUACGAGACCAGGAUUAAUGAGAUUCAGGAAUACUAUGAGGCUCAGCUCAAUACUUUGCGCUCAUGUUUGCCUGGAACUGACGUUGAGUUACAGGCAGUCAGCUGUAGGCCCCUUGACUCCCCUUCCCAUUCACAAGAGUCAGAAUAUUCGAUUGAGUUGUCUUGCCUCCGGCCAUUCUUGCAAGGCCAGUCAUCCCCUGCAGAACUCAGGUCACAGUCUGCCCAGGAUUCCCACUUCAGUGUGUUUGGUGACACUAGUGAAGCUGGGAAUCAGGUUUCAAGUUUAAGCAGCUGCCUCAUAGCAAGGUCUCCUUUUGAUGUUGUCACCAAAUGUGGAGCUCAGUCACGUUUACCAUCAGAUAAAAAAACAAAAGCUAGUAAAUCUUCACCUCAUUCCCAAAUAAAAAGAAAAUCAAUAUUAAAAGCCAAAGCAAAAUGUAAAUUGAGCAGUUCAAUGCGCCACAUAGUGCUUGAUUCAGCCUCUAGAUCAGAAUUACGGCUGCUGAAGUCAAGUCUCAGCCCCAGAGAAGAGCAGACACCCCAGGUCUUACCCCAGACAGUGGCAGCACCACACUUUGCAGAGCAGACUACCACCACAACCAUUACCACAUCAAUACGUCAGUCAUUCAACCCAGUCACUUCUCUUCAGCAGGCUCAGAUACAGUCCAGUACUGAGCAGUAUCCUCCCCCAUGCACUGAUGACCAAGCCUCAGCUAUUCUCUCAGCCAUGGGGGCUGUGCCAAAACCUCCUUGCCAAGCCACCACAAGGCUCAAGCCCCUCCUUGCAGCUAAACCAAAUGCUGAUGGUAGCAAGGAGGUUCCUCCAGCCCCUGGCAGUAGCACCACCGCCGCCCUCUCCAGCACCACUCACCACUCUGACCUCGACCCCAACACCACAGCGCUAGACAAAUUGAAAGGCUUCAGGGCUUUGAAGCAUGUCUGGAAGAGGCUCGUACGCAACUUGCAGCAGCAGCAGCCAAGCGCCUCAAGUUGGAGGAGAAGCUCGCGGCAGGUACGGGCACCAGUGCGCCCCUCAAGACGGAGAUAGAGCAGCUGCAGCAGCACAACAAGCAGCUCAAAGACACCCUGGAACACUACCAGAAGGAGAAGGAAGAAACUAACAAAAGAAUAGCUGCUUUGGAGUCCAGUAAUGAUGACAGCAAAAACAAGGUUAUGGACAUGGAGUUGUCUCAGAAGAACCUCCAGGAAAACAUCAAUAGAUUGAGUCAAGAAAAGGAAAGGUUGUUUCAUGAGAUUCAAGAAGGAUCUUCAGAAGGAAUGAUUAAUGUGUUGAUCAAGGAGAAAGAAGAAUUAGCAGAAAGGCUUACUAAAGAAAAGGAAGCUCAGAUGAAGGAA